CAGUAAUAGAAAAACUCUUCAUAGUUUGUUAGAGCAAGUCCGGCACGAUUCAAUUGAAAAUAGGUUCUAAAAUAACGAAAGCCGUCGUCAAAUUUUGUUUUCGGAAUAUAGAAUAUGAACCUUCUACAAAGAAUGUUCAUAUAACAUGUUUUCACGUUUUAAGAAAACGGUUUAUCAAUCGAUAACAAUGAUGAAAGCGAAGCGCUAUGGAAACAAUAGGGUUUAUUAUUAGCAUUUCUGUUUUACUGACGUCCAAACUGACUCGACCGGAAACUACGAAUACAACAGCAGAAGCGGAUUACGUCAUACUGGUAUCUCAAAAUACAACCAGCACCGUUCUUCGUGAGUUCUUGAUCGGAAACGUUCUGGUGAUACUUCCGUCAUUAGUGUACUCAGCGCAUUACUGAUUACGGUGAUACUACAAUAUUUUCCUUUUAAACCAAUGCGUAUUAUGCACUCACAAACAAUUUUGUUUUUAUUGUUAGUCUGCAUCUACGAAUCCAGUAGCUUACAGUGCUAUCAGUGCUCUGGAACAACCGUAGAAUGCCAGAUCGGUGGAGAUCCAGCUGCAUUGGUCAGGUCUUGUCAGGGAACGAAUCCUCGAUGCACUUCGUCGUAUUCUGCUGGUCACCUAACGUUACGCGCGUGCUAUGAUAUGAAAGAAGGCGACGAUCUCGGAUGCAAGACGACACUGGAUAGUACUGUCUGCAUUUGCGAUACCGACUCUUGUAACAGUCCUCAAGCAUACGGUCCCACGUAUGGGCCCAUUGACCCCGCGGAAGCGCGUGCCUUGAUCACCGGUCUCAGAGAAGCACCAGUGCCCGGCAACCUUACGAGUGGCAAAGCGGUCAACGGCACUACAAAUGAUUCACCAUCCCACAACCUCCCGAAUCAUACCAAAACGUUUGGGAUAGCAUGGACCUGUUUUCUGUUUUGGCUGAGUUUCGUAAACUGUAAUUUCCUGCAAAGGACAACGCGGUAGCCCAAAUAAUAACUGUUGGCGUUUUUAACGGCCUCUUUCGGUUCACCGGUGUUUCAAAAGUUUUAUUUGCCGCUGUUAUUGGAAAUUCAUUGGCUGAAUUGAUGCGUUCACAUUUUCGGUACUUUUAUGUAAGCGCGUAGCUAAUCGCUGCUGAAAGUGCGGAAGCAGAAUGAUUUGCAACGAAACCAUAUUACCGUGCACUGUACGAGCAAAUAAAUCUAGAGCGCA